rnacentral:rRNA from 1 species
GCAAGUCGAGCGGCAGCACGGGUACUUGUACCUGGUGGCGAGCGGCGGACGGGUGAGUAAUGCCUAGGAAUCUGCCUGGUAGUGGGGGAUAACGCUCGGAAACGGACGCUAAUACCGCAUACGUCCUACGGGAGAAAGCAGGGGACCUUCGGGCCUUGCGCUAUCAGAUGAGCCUAGGUCGGAUUAGCUAGUUGGUGAGGUAAUGGCUCACCAAGGCGACGAUCCGUAACUGGUCUGAGAGGAUGAUCAGUCACACUGGAACUGAGACACGGUCCAGACUCCUACGGGAGGCAGCAGUGGGGAAUAUUGGACAAUGGGCGAAAGCCUGAUCCAGCCAUGCCGCGUGUGUGAAUAAGGUCUUCGGAUUGUAAAGCACUUUAAGUUGGGAGGAAGGGCAGUUACCUAAUACGUAUCUGUUUUGACGUUACCGACAGA